UUACCGGAUUCUUCGGAUGAAGGUCUGGUGACUGAGUGGCGGACGGGUGAGUAACGCGUGGGUAACCUGCCCUGUACAGGGGGAUAACAGCUGGAAACGGCUGCUAAUACCGCAUAAGCGCACGAGGAGACAUCUCCUUGUGUGAAAAACUCCGGUGGUACAGGAUGGGCCCGCGUCUGAUUAGCUGGUUGGCAGGGUAACGGCCUACCAAGGCAACGAUCAGUAGCCGGUCUGAGAGGAUGAACGGCCACAUUGGAACUGAGACACGGUCCAAACUCC
rnacentral:rRNA from 1 species